GAAACUGACACUCAGAGAGCUUACAACCCUUGAAAAUUAAGAGCUGCAGGCGAGCAAGGCAAGCUGGCAUCUGCCCUGCACAAAAGCCAUCACACGCGACCACAGCCCUCAUACUUGCUACCAAUUCCGAUGUCAAGGCUGAAAUGUUGAAUUCAGAUCUCCAAGAAGAGGAUGUUUUGAUCAAGCUCUACAGAGGAAGUAUCACAGCCCAUGCUGGACAGUUCACCCCAGUCACUGACAGUGUUUUUGGAGGUUCAGAAGAUGGCACCAGGUCGGAGAAACAAGUUCUUUUGGAAAGUAUGUCUUAGGGAUAAUCUUGUUCCUAGCCACUUCCUGCUGCAGCCUACUUCUCGUCCACUGUAAGGCAUCUCACCAACUCCGCAGCUUCCAAAUGCGAGAUCUUCCAGUUUAACCAUGCCUAUAUGCCUUGCUAUUCUGCCCUAUAGUUUUUUUAUAAAUUAUCUACUAAGAUAUUCAUAUACCUUUUUUCCUUUAAUUACCAAAACAAAAUAAAUUUUCACUUCUUUUUAAAGUUGAGCCCACAGAGCCUGGGGUAAUUUGCCCAGAGUCACCCAUCAUUUCUCAAGAUGGCAGAGCUCAGAUCCCUCUUCCUGUUUCUUGCACUUUGGUUUCAAUUUCACGCCACUGCCCUUUAGAACUCUUCUAUGCUGACCUUCUUUCUUUCCUAUGUUUUGACCGUAGAGUUUCUUAAGUCUGUUUCUUUUGAAAGGCUCUCACUAUGUUGCCCACAUUGACUUAGAACUCCUAAGUCCAAUCGAUCCUCUUGUUUCCACAUCCCAAGCUCUAGGACUACAGGUAUAUAUCACCCACACCCAACAUGAGUUUCUUAAUACUUAUCUUUGUGAAUGUGCAUCCAUUUGACAUCAUCAUUUAAUUAUCAACCAGUAGCUGGCUUAUCUCUAAGGUGCUGAGUCACAACCUGAAGUUGCAAUCACAUGACAGUGUUUAUUCUACUUGCUGUAAAUACUGUGGACUGAGGCAAAGCCAUUAAUCCCACUGAGUUCUGUUUAUCUUGCCUGUAAAAUGGACUUCUCGUGUUUAACUACAGAGUUGCUUGGAGGAUUUGGUGACAUGGAGUAUUUAAGGCAUGUAUGUUGUAUAUGGUAAUUGUUCAAUAAAUGGCUUGUUGCGGUUGCUGUUUUGAAAGCCACCAAUGGCCUUUCAGUGGGGCACAAUCCUCAAGUCCCUUGGGCACAGAGGCAGGCAGGAUCCUGAUAUUCAGAAGCUUUUUCAUCUAGUAACUUGAAUUUAAUCAAUCCAUGUGGGUUUCUAUUUAUCCACCAAUCUCCUUUUCUAUCUCCCUGCAUUGUGUAACACUCCCUUGAAAGGAUGAUCAGAGGUGCUGGUUACUCUCAAAUCUUUUUUUUUUUUUCAUCAUGAAUAGUGACUCCAUCCCCCUAAAAAUCAUCUUAGUGUUUUUAUAUUUAUUAAAUUUGGUGAUACAAAGGUCUUGCCUCCUUUCUUGGUGAGAAUAAAGGAAAACACUUUCUCACCAUAAACCAAUCCUCUUGAUUUAAGUGUCCAUCGACUAUAAUUUAAGCUUUCUGUAGAGGUACAAGCUCCCCAGAGAGCUUAGAAGAUAGCAAAAAUCCAGAACAGACCAUCUCAACACAGAAAGCCCUUAAUCAAUUACAGGAUGGAUCUAACUUGAGUUUUAUUCUUGAUUAAACUUGUUGAUGUUUACCAUCCUGAGAGCAGACAGCAUGUCCACCUCAAAGGUCAUCAAUUCCAUAUAAAGUUUCCCAAUGAGAGUAACUUAGAUUAA